rnacentral:lncRNA from 1 species
ACACACACUCACAUGCACACACAGCUUCUACACACACUCACAUACACACACUGUUUACACACACACACACACACUCUGUUUUACAGACACACACACACACACACACACACUGGUUUACACACACACACACACUGUUUUACACACACACACUCGCAUACACACACAAUUUCUAGACACACACACACACACACACACACACACACACACACACACACACACACACACACACUAUUUUACGCGCACACACACAC